GAUGAACGCUGGCGGCGUGCUUAACACAUGCAAGUCGAACGGUAAGGCCCUUCGGGGUACACGAGUGGCGAACGGGUGAGUAACACGUGGGUGAUCUGCCCUGCACUUCGGGAUAAGCCUGGGAAACUGGGUCUAAUACCGGGUAGGACUCCUGCCUGCAUGGGUGGGGGUGGAAAGCUUUUGCGGUGUGGGAUGGGCCCGCGGCCUAUCAGCUUGUUGGUGGGGUGAUGGCCUACCAAGGCGACGACGGGUAGCCGGCCUGAGAGGGUGACCGGCCACACUGGGACUGAGAUACGGCCCAGACUCCUACGGGAGGCAGCAGUGGGGAAUAUUGCACAAUGGGCGCAAGCCUGAUGCAGCGACGCCGCGUGAGGGAUGACGGCCUUCGGGUUGUAAACCUCUUUCAGCACAGACGAAGCGCAAGUGACGGUAUGUGCAGAAGAAGGACCGGCCAACUACGUGCCAGCCGCCGCGGUAA
rnacentral:rRNA from 1 species